rnacentral:rRNA from 1 species
UACGUAGGCAGCGAGCGUUGUUCGGAGUUACUGGGCGUAAAGGGUGUGUAGGCGGUUGUUUUAAGUUUGGUGUGAAAUCUCCCGGCUCAACUGGGGAGGGUGCGCCGAAUACUGAAUGACUUCGAGUGCGGGAGAGGAGAGUGGAAUUCCUGGUGUAGCGGUGAAAUGCGUAGAGAUGUGGAGGAACACCAGUGGCGAAGGCGACUCUUUGGUCUGUAACUGACGCUGAGGCGCGAAAGCGUGGGGAGCAAACAGG